UGACUUUACAACUACAUUAGCGUUGGUUAAUAAUGAAAUGGGGCACGUUCUGACUUGUGCCACUUUUCUUUUUGAGGAUUACUACAUGAAGGUAAGUUUAAGUUUUGGGGAAGUAUACACAGGAAUAGAGAUUUCAUGAUGUUGGGCCCUUCUACAAACCAUCAGACUUAACAGUUUUGGUAAUAGAGUUUGAAAAAAAACCAAAAAAC